CGCGUAGGCGGUUUACACAGUCAGAUGUGAAAUUCCAGGGCUUAACCUUGGGGCUGCAUUUGAUACGUGUAGACUAGAGUGUGAGAGAGGGUUGUGGAAUUCCCAGUGUAGAGGUGAAAUUCGUAGAUAUUCGGAAGAACACCAGUGGCGAAGGCGACUUACUGGAUCAUUACUGACGCUGAGGCUCGAAAGCGUGGGGAGCAAACAGGAUUAGAUACCCCGGUA
rnacentral:rRNA from 1 species